UCAGCCUGGCCCAGCCCUGGCUGUUGGGUUCCGCCAUUCAGAGGGACUUCCUAGUUCUGGCUUCAGCCUGGCCCAGCCCUGGCUGUUGGGUUCCGCCAUUCAGAGGGACUUCCUAGUUUCUGGCUUCAGCCUGGCCCAGCCCUGGCUGUUGGGUUCCGCCAUUCAGAGGGACUUCCUAUUUCUGGCUUCAGCCUGGCCCAGCCCUGGCUGUUGGGUUCCGCCAUUCAGAGGGACUUCCUAGUUCUGGCUUCAGCCUGGCCCAGCCCUGGCUGUUGGGUUCCGCCAUUCAGAGGGACUUCCUAGUUUCUGGCUUCAGCCUGGCCCAGCCCUGGCUGUUGGGUUCCGCCAUUCAGAGGGACUUCCUAGUUCUGGCUUCAGCCUGGCCCAGCCCUGGCUGUUGGGUUCCGCCAUUCAGAGGGACUUCCUAUUUCUGGCUUCAGCCUGGCCCAGCCCUGGCUGUUGGGUUCCGCCAUUCAGAGGGACUUCCUAGUUUCUGGCUUCAGCCUGGCCCAGCCCUGGCUGUUGGGUUCUGCCAUUCAGAGGGACUUCCUAGUUUCCGGCUUCAGCCUGGCCCAGCCCUGGCUGUUGGGUUCCGCCAUUCAGAGGGACUUCCUAGUUUCUGGCUUCAGCCUGGCCCAGCCCUGGCUGUUGGGUUCCGCCAUUCAGAGGGACUUCCUAGUUUCUGGCUUCAGCCUGGCCCAGCCCUGGCUGUUGGGUUCCGCCAUUCAGAGGGACUUCCUAGUUUCUGGCUUCAGCCUGGCCCAGCCCUGGCUGUUGGGUUCUGCCAUUCAGAGGGACUUCCUAGUUUCCGGCUUCAGCCUGGCCCAGCCCUGGCUGUUGGGUUCCAGCAUUCAGAGGGACUUCCUAGUUCUGGCUUCAGCCUGGCCCAGCCCUGGCUGUUGAAGCCAUUUGUGGAGUGAACCAGUUGGUGGAAGAU